AGUGAACGCUGGCGGUAGGCCUAACACAUGCAAGUCGAACGGCAGCACAGUAAGCGCUUGCUCUUACGGGUGGCGAGUGGCGGACGGGUGAGGAAUACAUCGGAAUCUACUUUUUCGUGGGGGAUAACGUAGGGAAACUUACGCUAAUACCGCAUACGACCUACGGGUGAAAGCAGGGGAUCUUCGGACCUUGCGCGAUUGACUGAGCCGAUGUCGGAUUAGCUAGUUGGCGGGGUAAAGGCCCACCAAGGCGACGAUCCGUAGCUGGUCUGAGAGGUUGAUCAGCCACACUGGAACUGAGACACGGUCCAGACUCCUACGGGAGGCAGCAGUGGGGAAUAUUGGACAAUGGGCGCAAGCCUGAUCCAGCCAUACCGCGUGAGUGAAGAAGGCCUUCUGGUUGUAAAGCCCUUUUGUUGGGAAAGAAAAGCAUCAGGUUAAUACCCCGCUGUUCUGACGGUACCCAAAGAAUAAGCACCGGCUAGCUUCGUG
rnacentral:rRNA from 1 species